rnacentral:rRNA from 1 species
UACGUAGGGGGCAAGCGUUGUCCGGAUUUAUUGGGCGUAAAGGGCGCGUAGGCGGCUUUUCAAGUGGCGGGUGAAAUCCCUCGGCUUAACCGAGGAACUGCCUGCCAGACUGGAUGGCUUGAGACCGGGAGAGGUGAGUGGAAUUCCCAGUGUAGCGGUGAAAUGCGUAGAUAUUGGGAGGAACACCAGUGGCGAAGGCGGCUCACUGGACCGGUACUGACGCUGAGGCGCGAAAGCGUGGGGAGCAAACAGG